rnacentral:rRNA from 1 species
UACGUAGGGGGCAAGCGUUGUCCAGAAUUAUUGGGCGUAAAGCGCACGCAGGCGGUUCGCUAAGUUCGAGGUGACAAUCACCGGCUUAACCGGUGAACGAUUUCGAAAACUGGCGGACUUGAGAGCGAGAGAGGGACAUGGAACUCCGGGUGGAGCGGUGAAAUGCGUAGAGAUCCGGAAGAACACCAAUAGCGAAGGCAGUGUCCUGGCUCGUAUCUGACGCUGAGGUGCGAAAGCUAGGGGAGCGAACGGG